GUCCCAGUUCGGAUUGCAGGCUGCAACCCGCCUGCAUGAAGUUGGAAUCGCUAGUAAUCGCGGAUCAGCAUGCCGCGGUGAAUACGUUCCCGGGCCUUGUACACACCGCCCGUCACACCAUGAGAGUCGGGAACACCCGAAGUCCGUAGCCUAACCGCGAAGGGGGCGCGGCGAAGGUGGGUUCGAUAAUUGGGGUGAAGUCGUAACAAGGUACC
rnacentral:rRNA from 1 species